CCUACGGGCGGCAGCAGUGGGGAAUAUUGCACAAUGGGGGAAACCCUGAUGCAGCGACGCCGCGUGAGUGAAGAAGUAUUUCGGUAUGUAAAGCUCUAUCAGCAGGGAAGAGAAUGACGGUACCUGAGUAAGAAGCCCCGGCUAACUACGUGCCAGCAGCCGCGGUACUACGUAGGGGGCAAGCGUCAUACGGAAUUACUGGGUUUAAAGGGAGCGUAGACGGCGAAGAAAGUCUGAAGUGAAAGCCCGCGGCUCAACCGCGGAACUGCUUUGGAAACUUUUUUGCUGGAGUACCGGAGAGGUAAGCGGAAUUCCUAGUGUAGCGGUGAAAUGCGUAGAUAUUAGGAGGAACACCAGUGGCGAAGGCGGCUUACUGGACGGUAACUGACGUUGAGGCUCGAAAGCGUGGGGAGCAAACAGGAUUAGAUACCCCUGUAGUC
rnacentral:rRNA from 1 species